rnacentral:lncRNA from 1 species
AAACAGAGAGUGUCUGGCAAGUGUUAGCUACAGGAAAAGCAAAGGUGUUAUGGUCUGAAUUGUGUUCCCCCCAAAAUCCAUACGUUGAAGUUCCAACUCCCAGUACCUUAAAAUAUGACCAUAUUUGGAGAUAGGGCCUCAAAGCAUGAGAUGAAGUUAAAGUGAGGUCAUUGAGGGGUCACCAUAAUUCAUUAUGACUGGUGUCCCUUUAGGAAGAGGAGAUUAGGACACAGACACACACAGAGGGAAGACCAUGGGAAGACACAGAGGGAAGAUGGCCAUGGAAAAGCUAGAGAGAGAGAGUUCUCAGAAGAAGUAACUCUGCCAACACCUUGAUCUCAGAUUUCUAGCCUCCAAAGCUCUUGCAAUACAGCACUUCUCCUGAGGCAGGGGGCCAAGAAGCUACAUCUGAGAUGUUGCAAAGACUCCUGAUGCAAUUACUGUUUGGAUAAAUGCUACAUUACUUCAUUUGUGUACUUUAAGUAAACUGGGUCUAUUCAGUGUUCUAUGAGUCUUCUUUCUAAUUUCUAACCCAG